rnacentral:tRNA from 1 species
CUAAAGUUUGCAAGAAUCUGGAAAAAAGAACUCUGACAAAAACUCCCGCUCACAGACACUGCAAAGAGCAAA